AGCUAUUGCUUUUUAUAGAACGGCCAUCAAGUAUGGCAAUAUGAAAGUUUUAGUUACAUUCCAAUUUAAAUACAUUUUCAAAAGAAAAU